rnacentral:lncRNA from 1 species
GAAGUAGAGAAAAAUUAUCAAUAUAGCCAAAACCAAAUGGACUUGGACCAAGGCUUAGUUGUUUUCAGUUGACAUGCAUAAGAUACAUUACCAGAAUUAUGACCAAGGCUUAGUUGUUUUCAGUUGACAUGCAUAAGAUACAUUACCAGAAUUAUGACCUUGUUGAAUGAAAAUGCAAAAUCAGCAAUCAUUUCAUCAAGUCAACAAAGCAGGGAGAAAUGAGGAAGAGAAAUUCUUGCAACUUUGCCACAAGAAAAAAAAUAAGAACACGUGCAUAAGAAGCUAUAAAUCUCAGUAACUCAUUUGACACAUUGAAUUAAACAUUAUACAAAAAUCCCAC